GUUUACAUCCAUAUAUUGUUUGUUGUGUGCCGCAAUAUUCACAUAUGGUGGCUAAAACAUUAGUCAAUGUGACAGAAGGGGGAAAGGGGGUGAGGAAGCAGACCUGCUCAUUUCCAUUGCAUGUACAUGGGUUAGGGUGAGGGUUAGGGUUAGGGUAUGCGAGCACAGACCCCUGAUCUGCCUGACCCACACUCCCGAUGAGCACAUCUUUAGCAUCAACGCUGCCAAAUGAGGCCGUUGACACUGCAACGAUUGAGUGUGUGGCAGAGGUUCAUGACCCGCAUCACGAUGUCUGUCACCCUAGAAAGCAGCACUCGCAUCCACGGAGAAACAGGCAUGUGUUCCUAAUUUCUAAUUUAGUUGUUUCUUGCAGCAGAGCUCCAUCUCUGUCUGUCAGAAACUCUUCUUACUGUGGGGGAGAAGAAAAAGGGUCAGCCGGGGCCACGAUAAGCAUUUUACCGUGCUUAUCAAAGGCCCUUACAUGAGCCAUAUAUCCUUCUAUAUGAGCUGUUGAAGCACCCUCAGCGAGGCAGACGUCCACAUGUGUCCUUGGUUUAAUGGCGGUGUAAGCCGAGAAAGUCUCCGCAGGUUCCGGCGUGCCCCCGACAUAACAUGGCGCUCUUUCAUUUCGUACACCAACGAGUACGAGCCGGAUGCGUCAAGGCAAUCACCGUGGCGAGAGCGCGCCCCACCCCAACGACCCAAGGACCUCCGGAAGGUGUCAUUGAGCAGUAAAUCACGACUCCUCCAGGUCGUGACUCACAGGCUGUAUUCCUGCCUCUUACCUGGUGGCUGGCAUCCCCACCACGUGCUGCAGUUAACAGCAAAUGGAUGGAUGGAAGCAUGGAUGGCGGACGGAGAUUCCAUUUAUCGCCCUCAUCUUAAACGGCCAUUACACUAUUCGAAUGCGUAUUUUAACAAUGUAAACAAUGCUAUACAUGCCUACGACCUUCCCUGACUUUCUACACCCUUCACUCCUGCUGUCUCUCCCGGGAAUCUGCGUUUGUCACAAAUGACCCCACUCCCCCGUCGUCCCACAAUCUCGGGUCUCCUGCUACUCAGCCCUGGAUGAGCGGCAAGGGUUGCGCCGCGACCUCUGUCUUUGCACGAGACCGCCAAUCUGCAACAGCAGGGAGUGGACACUGUGCCGAAUCUGCCCGCAAGUUAGCACUAUGAGUUGGGAGAUGUGUUAGCCAGGGAUUUGCAUAAAUUAGAGAGGCCAGACAUAUUUAAAGGUGUCAGUUCUGAAUUUAAACACAUACGAGAGCCAACUUCCCAUUUUAUUUUAUUUUUUUGCAUCCGAGAAUCAUGAUAGAUGUCACUUAUUCCUCUGUUACUCUGAACAAACAGGAAGUCAGAGAAGCUCUAGUGUUCUCGUUUCCCGUCAUCGAGACAUCUGGAGGAAUAAAACCAGAGAGCUUUGUUACCAAGAUAAUAUUUUCUGCAGACUCAUCUGAGCCAGGCUGUGAGACACUGCUGAUGGUGCCGGGGAAGAGAGCUGGAGAUGACUCCUGGUCGCUCAGGGUUGGAGCUGAGGCGGCUUAAGUGGGUGGCAGCGCGCUGACAGCUGAACGACAGCUGAGAGGAAGCAGUUUUACAAACGCGACAGCUCGCAAGUGGCUGGCUGCAGAAGAAAGGGGAGAGAGAGAAACAUGUAAGGCAGAGGUCCCAUUUGACCAUCCAGAGCAAACUGAAAUAAACCAAAGUACGGGCGCUUCCAAACAUUAGACUUGGGUCUGUUCUGAGCUUAAAAAUUUGGAAGCAGGGAGACGUUAGAAGAAAGAGUAAAUGGGAUGGUGUUAACAAGCCAUCAACUCUGGAUGUAUAAUUGUUGCAGAAAAUAAGUGUCACUGAUCCUCUCAGUAACCUUCCCAAAAUGUCAAACCAUUUUAGAAAAUGGCAACCUUAAUUGCACGCAUUCCUCGGUUUAAAAAGUAAAAUUUCCAAAUAUGGAAAAGAAGAGGCCAGUUUAGAGCCCUUGAUGGGUUCCCAUUACAUAUAGACGAGUUAGUGUCAAAAUUUAUGAUGACAAAUAAAUAUUAUCCUCACACCAGUGGUGCUCUAGCUCAUUCCAAGACAGUUUUCACCUCUUCAUCUCAAGUAUCAACACAUCUGUCUGGUCUACUGUCAACACACAGCAGCUUUGAUUCUUCAAAUGAUAUUUUAAAGCAGGCAACUCAUAUAUAAACAAAUAUGAGAAAAUUGGGAGGGAUGCUGUGACGCUGUGAAAAUGGUCCCGGAGAAAAUUGAUGACAAGAACGAGAGGGGGAUGUAAAGGAGGAUGAAGUCAUACAGUCGUCUCGUUUAGGUGUUGCAGGAGCUGCAGAUUACAGGAUUAAUGGCACGAGAGCGACGCCUGGUGGAGAUUUAUAUUAGUCUCAUGAGGAGUGGCUGGACUCAUAUACAGGAAAGGUCAGAUGAAUAAUAUUCUGAUGCUCUUUAUGAAACAUUUUAGCUAUGCAAUAAAAUUGAAUCACAAUGUUAAUAAAAUCAAGAUGAUUAUUGCAUUUUGACAUCUGAUUUUGGCUUCUUUUUUUUUUUAAAUGACCUGUAUCUAAUCUAAUUUAGAGUCUAAAUAAUCUUCAGUGAAAAUGGUAACAGUUGUUUUUUUCACACAAGCUAUAAACCAUGCUUAAAUCCAACUCCAAACAUUCCUCACUGUUGAUGGUGAAUGUACCAGAUGCUGCACCCUUUGCUUGCUGAACACAUCUACUCGGACUGAUGAUUGAAUGAGCGGAUAUUCAUAGAUUUUCUUCAGUGAACAUUUAAGACAUCUACAGAAAAUCUCUUACAACAUAAAAUUUGUAAUCAUUCACUGCUGCUCACCUGUUUCCCUUCCAUUGCUCCUCCUCAGACCCCUGAGAUCAAAAACAUCCUCCCUCAGCCUGGUGGAUCACAGCUCUGUCGCUCAUAGUAACAAUCUCAGAGAAAAUCGCACUGCUAGCAUCUGUCAGCAAUUUCUCAAAUUAAAAAAACAACAAAUGACCAAUAAAUCAUUGCUGCUAUUUGUGCAAUAAUUAAAUAUUUGCAUCAGCACUAUGCUACUAUGAUUCUCUCGCAAUUUGUCCUGGUUUGAGCUGUUUCAGACAUACCAGCCUCUUUAGUUGACAUCCACACCUCUGGUCUGAUUGCUGCCUCUCUCUUUUUUGAACGUGUUUAAAUUGUGUCCCUAUUAACCAUUUUUGUUCUCUUAAGUUGCACUCACUGGCAAUUUUCCAGCUCCGUCCUUAUCCUUUUCUUCCUGUGUGGCAGGGUGUCAUGCUCUCAGUCGGCUCAUAAUAAUCCUCUUCAUUGCUGCCCUGUGUUUUCCUUGACAUCUGCAUAUUUAUUUGGACAGUUUCAGUGCCUGCAGACUGUCUUUUAACUUCCUCUGCUAACUCCUAAAAGCUGACUACAUUUUUCUUCAGGUAUGUGUCUCUCCUUCCUCUCUUUGCCUUUCUUCUUACUUGACUUAAGACCAUUGGCAGUCUUGAUUUUAUUCUUCUCCUGACACUGGGUGAGCGUCUUCAAGAAUGUGAUCGAGGCACUUGUCAGCAUGUGAACAUUUAUCCACAUGUGUCUGCACACUGGAAAAAGGCCUUUAGAUACCCUUCUUGGUCCAAGCCUGAUAAAGAACUCUGGUGUGCAGAGUCAAGUAUCUGCAAACAAACUGGGAGCAGUCAAAAAGUCUGAGAGAUUACUGUCCAAGACUACAACACAGAUGCAUCUUCUGUGCAUUCUGCAGGCUCCCACAAUAGAAAUCUGUUGCCAAUGAAAUUAAAAUGUUGAUGUGACGGAGCAUCAGUCCUUUGCAAUGCAUCAGCCCAAAAACAUGGUAAACGUUUUAAAUUAAUAAGAGUAGAUAACAGCCUUCUUAAAGUUUCUGCUUAUAAUAUGUGACUCUGACUACACAGUAAUGGAUGUAUAUUUUUCUUUAACAUGAUCACGACAAUCUGGAUUAUCCGGUAAUUUUAGAAUCAAGUGAUUGAGUUUGAACUACGCCUAUUUUAUACUAUAAUGCCCCUAUGUGCAGACGCCGAACUACUUCAUGCGGGUUUCUCUUCUUCUUUAGUUCACAAUUUGGCAAAUAUCGGCGAAAUACCGCCCCCAACUGGAAAGAAAAAAUAAACGUGCCGCUUCUUCUUCGUCUAGUUAUUUAAAUAAUUUAUUUUACAUACCGCCACCUGUCGGUGGAAAGUAUAUUUAUUGCGGAAUCGUUGAUUUGUGCAAGGUACACGUGUGUCAGUUGUUCAUGUGGUAGUGUCCACGACUACACAAGAUAUCUUAUGGAAAACAAUUUAGAUAUAACGUGAACUAAAAUGCGGCAAAAAUAAACGACGAUAUCGGUUUCGGAAUCGUAUUGUUUUGGUAAAAUCUAGCUGACUAACAGUCAGCCAAUCAGAAUGCAGUAGGCGGGGAAAAGGCGUCACACUGUUAAGCGAUGGCAGCUAAUGUAACUAGCUUAGCUUUGUUUUUAAGUAAAAGAAUGGUUUAGUGGGUUUGUGUGUCGAGUUCGUGUGAACCGCAAAGCAACAUUGAAAAA
rnacentral:lncRNA from 1 species